UCUGAAUCCCUUCCCUCUCAAUUAUCUAUGAUAUCUCAAAUGAAUACUAGCCGCCUCUAUCUAAUCCCACCUUGGUCCACCUCAAUCCAUGCCUAAUCCAUGGCCUCUCGUGGCCAUUUGAGAUGAGAAUCGGCCUCAUGUGGCUUCUGGGUGUUUGUUUCCCUGAUUUAAUGGCAAGAUGUCAGUGUCUAGUCCUUACUCAACCUCUGUUUAUGAUCUUUCUGCGGCUAUCCAUGGCUGUUCAAGGCAGACUCUUGACUUUUCCGGCUAGAUUGGUAACCUUUCAAAGUCUUUCUCACCUUUUUUGGGUUCUCCAAAACACUAUCUUUAAGGUCUUUUGUUUUUAUUUCAGAUCUAUCUUAGAUCUGUGCUUAUUACGAACUUCUUAAGUGUUUUCUCGGAUGUUCUUCGAUUUUCUUUCUAAAUGACUCUUCAUUUUUGGAUGAUUU
rnacentral:lncRNA from 1 species